GCCGCCGGGGGGCGCUGUCAGCUGACACACACACAAACAACAGGAAGCUUGAUCAGCUUUUGGCAACAGAUCCGUUUAACUCGGAGCUGAUUUUUUUAUUAUUUUGUGUUUAACGUUAAACUGCGAUGGCCGGCACCGCACUGAAGAGACUCAUGGCGGAGUAUAAACAGUUGACCCUGAACCCACCUGAGGGCAUCGUUGCAGGUCCGGCCAACGAGGAGAACUUCUUUGAGUGGGAGGCGCUGAUCAUGUGAGUAAAUGAUAAGUGAUCAUACUGCUUAUUAACACGCCGGCUCAAUAACUCAAGGUUUUUAUUUACAAGAUG